UAGUCUACGCCGUAAACGAUGGAUACUAGUUGUUCGGACUUCGGUUUGAGUGACUAAGCGAAAGUGAUAAGUAUCCCACCUGGGGAGUACGUUCGCAAGAAUGAAACUCAAAGGAAUUGACGGGGGCCCGCACAAGCGGUGGAGCAUGUGGUUUAAUUCGAUGAUACGCGAGGAACCUUACCAGGGCUUAAAUGUAGUCUGACAGCUUUAGAGAUAGAGUUUUCUUCGGACAGAUUACAAGGUGCUGCAUGGUUGUCGUCAGCUCGUGCCGUGAGGUGUCAGGUUAAGUCCUAUAACGAGCGCAACCCCUGUUGUUAGUUGCCAGCACGUAAUGGUGGGAACUCUAACAAGACUGCCGGUGCAAACCGCGAGGAAGGUGGGGAUGACGUCAAAUCAUCACGGCCCUUACGUCCUGGGCCACACACGUGCUACAAUGGUAGGUACAGAGAGCAGCCACUACGCGAGUAGGAGCGAAUCUAUAAAACCUAUCUCAGUUCGGAUCGGAGU
rnacentral:rRNA from 1 species